GUUAGGCAUUGCACGAGGGCUUCACGUGAGCUAGCAGAUGAAAUUUGCCACCCGCGUUUUGAGCGGGAAAUCAAACUGGUCAGGAUGUAGUUGAACAGUAAUUCUCAGUAUUUUGCAAUUUCUAAACAACUCGUAAGAUAACAAUACCGGCAGAGUUUAAGCUUUAAGUCAACUGGAGGAAAUUGUUAUAAUUCAAGUUCGUGGAGGGAGGGUUUUAAUUGAAAAUAGGCUGGAUAUAAAGAGACAGAGCGACCAAAGAAAGCAACAAGUAAACGGCGUAAAGCGAGUUCAGAAAAUCGCGCAAGAAAGUUACAAAGGACGCCAAAAUAGGCAGAAUACGGCGAGAGGAACACGAAAGAGAACAAUAAAGGGCAUAAGUAAAAAGGCGAGUUUCUAGCGAAGAGCAACGCGAGAAGGAAAUACAAGGUCGCUUCUGAAAACAGACAGAAAAGAGGUCAUCAACAAAGAGAAGCGAACUGCAAAGGAUCCGCGAAAGAAGAGGAGCCCCAAAAGCCCGGCUAGUGACUCUGGAGGUACUGAACUUGAUAUAUUUGAUACACAAGGCACCCUUCAAGUAGAAAGUUUGAAUUCAAGAUAAAACAGAAGUCUUGCAGAGUUCUCAUUCGAGAUGGAAUUCAGGCAACCUUCAAGGUGAAAGAGUAGAAGACCACAGAAUGAUGUUUACUUGGCAUUUGUACUUAAUGCAGUCAUAAAUUCAAGCAGUACUCUACAUAUAUAUAACUGAUUACAUGAUGUCUUUAACCCAUUACACUCCGAUAUCAGAAUGCAUAUUCUCCAAACUGUUCUCUAUAUAUUUCCUUAUGUGCUGGCAAGGAGAAUUUGUAUAACAAUCAAGAGGUUCUUCAGUUGAUUAUCAUUUCCUUUAUUCUCAUGACCUUAAUGUGUGACUCAGGGGUGAUAUUGAAUGGAGAAAUUAGAUGCUAGUCACUCUCAUGGAUUAAAGUGUUAUUAGCUGUACACAUUUCCAUGUAUAUGCUCCUCACAUUUGUUGGCAACAAUAGCUAAGAUUGUUAGGAAAGCAAACAAACAAGUGAACAGAAGACAGUGAAAUGAGGGAAACUGUAAACUUUGAAACUGUAAACUUUACCAUGUGAUAGAAAACUAUCACAGAAUACUUAAAGAGGGGAAACUUGAAUUGUGCUAGCUAAUUUCCCCAAUUGCCAUUCAUGUUUUUGAUCAAAUGAAAUU